UGCCAUCUCCAGAUUUUCAGUAUGAUUGG
rnacentral:piRNA from 1 species